rnacentral:rRNA from 1 species
UACGGGGGGUGCGAGCGUUGUCCGGAAUCACUGGGCGUAAAGGGUGCGUAGGCGGGUCUUUAAGUCAGGGGUGAAAUCCUGGAGCUCAACUCCAGAACUGCCUUUGAUACUGAGGAUCUUGAGUACGGGAGAGGUGAGUGGAACUGCGAGUGUAGAGGUGAAAUUCGUAGAUAUUCGCAAGAACACCAGUGGCGAAGGCGGCUCACUGGCCCGUAACUGACGCUGAGGCACGAAAGCGUGGGGAGCAAACAGG